AAUGGGCGCAAGCCUGAUCCAGCCAUGCCGCGUGAGUGAUGAAGGCCUUAGGGUUGUAAAGCUCUUUCACCAGGGAAGAUCAUGACAGUACCUGAUGAAGAAACCCCGGCUAACUCCGUGCCAGCAGCCGCGGUAAUACGGAGGGGGCAAGCGUUGUUCGGAAUUACUGGGCGUAAAGCGCACGUAGGCGGACUGAUCAGUUGGGGGUGAAAUCCCGGGGCUCAACCUCGGAACUGCCUUCAAUACUGGUAGUCUUGAGAUCGGAAGAGGUGAGUGGAAUUCCGAGUGUAGAGGUGAAAUUCGUAGAUAUUAGGAGGAACACCAGUGGCGAAGGCGGCUCACUGGUUCGAUACUGACGCUGAGGUGCGAAAGUGUGGGGAGCAAACAGGAUU
rnacentral:rRNA from 1 species